AAUUAAUUUUUCACAUAGAAGAUUAAUAUAUCAUAUAAGUUAAAUCACACACUUUAUUCUUUUAAAGAGUUUUUAUGCUUUAGACACGAAUAAAGCUAUAAUAUAUAAUAUAGAAAUAGACUAAGAAUUCGAAAUAUUUCUUGCAUAGAAUUAAAACGCGACUAUAAUACGCACGCAGAGCUGCCAAACCUAAAUAUGAAAUAUGACCGUAUCCACCACAGUUAAAAAAUUGUUUUAAUUAGCGAAAUUGGUGUGAAGUUACGUAAAUCAUUUAAGUUUUUACCUGCCUUGGGAAUGGGAACUACUUUGAUAUAUUGCAAAUCUAAGUGUAUAAUGUUAAUAGGCCAGCAAUAAUUAAUUGCACGCAAGAGGCCAGGUAAGCUAGACAGCUCUGACCAUAUCAUGGUUAUCACCAUCACAACCUGCAGCAGCAGCCCUCUUUCUAGAAUAUAAGAGAUAAAUUAGCUCAUGCAAUGAAAUGAGUAUAUUGUUGAGACUACUAAAAGGAGGUGAAGAUAUUGUAACCUGACUGACAUUGGAGUAUAGUUCUUGAGCAUAUCUAAGCAUCUUUCAUUCUCAUCGUCAUUCCACAUAGCACAACCGUUUAAUUCUUGACUACACUGUCGAUGAAUAUUGAUGUAAAUCCAGAAAAAACGCGAGUUGCCAUUACCACAUAACUCUUUGAUUAUUUGCGGAAAAGUGGGGACAGCGAAGAGUUCCACCACGGUAUAGCUGAGAACGAUUCAACACCAGAAAGACAAUUGCGGCAAAUCAUUGCGGUAGGAACAAACAAACCUCAUCGAAACCCUUUGCAAAUUGCUUAAACAGCAUAUCCCUGAAGUGCUGGUGAUUUUAAGUGAUCUCUACAGAAACAUAGACAAAGAACAUAUGCGCACAAAGGGUUUUAAAAAUACUCAUCUCUCUCAGGAAAUUUUGAUUGAUCAGCGGAUUAUACUUUUUUUCAGCGAUCAGCGUAUCCGUAGCAUCAUUUAUCAAAACUGAUUGAUAAUUUUUGGAUAAUGGACGCUUAUGGAGUCUUGCAAAGAAAGCGCUGAACUUAGAAGAAAAAGAGCAUAAAUAAAUAAACAUAAAAUAGGUAAAAACGCUACGCGCGACGAAUCAUCGGGAAACAAUAAACCACCAUGUGUCAGCAUCUCUCCAUCAUCUCGCCAUAUGUCAACGUUUACUUUAUAACCCAAUCCUAAAAUUACUUCUGGAGCGCGAUAAUACCGAGUUACAACGUAAGGUGUCAUCAUAAAAGUGAUAUCAGAUGUCCGAGCUAUUCCAAAGUCGAGUAUUUUUAAUGCACAAUUAACUUUUAUAACAAUAUUUGACGGCUUUCAAAAAAAAAGGAAUAUAACUCAAAAAAUAUCCCCACAGCGAAGGCACUAUUGUAAACAACUUAUUUGGGUAUUGGGAACGCGACAAAGCCGAUGAAAUGGAUGAAAAUAAUGAAAGUUAAAGAGUUAUGCAAAUGGCUGCCUGAGGACAUUAGAACCGAGAAAAGUGCCACUGAAAAGCAACAAAAGAAGAGAAGUAGCGCCAAUUUUUGAUGAAAAUCAAUGUUUCAAAGAUUUUCGUCAGAGAAAUUUACAAGAUGUGCUAUGUUGAGCUAUGAUUCAACCAUUAGAUUAGAUAGAAAUUCUCGAAAUAAAGCUCUAACAAUGAUAAAU